rnacentral:rRNA from 1 species
GACGAACGCGGCGGCGUGCCUAAUACAUGCAAGUAGAACGCUGAAGCCUGGUGCUUGCACCGAGCGGAUGAGUUGCGAACGGGUGAGUAACGCGUAGGUAACCUGCCUGGUAGCGGGGGAUAACUAUUGGAAACGAUAGCUAAUACCGCAUAAGAGUAGAUAUUGCAUGACAUUUGCUUAAAAGGUGCAAUUGCAUCACUACCAGAUGGACCUGCGUUGUAUUAGCUAGUUGGUGAGGUAACGGCUCACCAAGGCAACGAUACAUAGCCGACCCGAGAGGGUGAUCGGCCACACUGGGACUGAGACACGGCCCAGACUCCUACGGGAGGCAGCAGUAGGGAAUCCUCGGCAAUGGACGGAAGUCUGACCGAGCAACGCCGCGUGAGUGAAGAAGGUUUUCGGAUCGUAAAGCUCUGUUGUAAGAGAAGAACGAGUGUGAGAGUGGAAAGUUCACACUGUGACGGUAUCUUACCAGAAAGGGACGGCUAACUACGUGCCAGCAGCCGCGGUAAUACGUAGGUCCCGAGCGUUGUCCGGAUUUAUUGGGCGUAAAGCGAGCGCAGGCGGUUAGAUAAGUCUGAAGUUAAAGGCUGUGGCUUAACCAUAGUACGCUUUGGAAACUGUUUAACUUGAGUGCAAGAGGGGAGAGUGGAAUUCCAUGUGUAGCGGUGAAAUGCGUAGAUAUAUGGAGGAACACCGGUGGCGAAAGCGGCUCUCUGGCUUGUAACUGACGCUGAGGCUCGAAAGCGUGGGGAGCAAACAGG